AUGGCGGCUGCCGACGACGAUGGCCAGAUCGACGACGACGAGUUCUACGAGUACAACCCGCACCCCUACGGCGGCGGCUACGACAUCUCCGCCACCUACGGCGCCCCGCUCCCGCCCUCCACCUCCACCUGCUACCCCAUCUCCUCCCCCGCCGGUGCCCCCGCGCGCUCAUCUCCACGUCCACCUGCGCCCGCGCCUGUUCCUGCUCCCGCCACGCCGCAGCCGGCACCAGCUUCGCCCGCGAAGCCCCGGCCGGUCCCAUCGCCAGAGCCGGCGAGGACACCGCCCUUUUCGCCGGUUCCGGUGCCAGUGCCGGUGCCUGUGCCGGUGCCGGUCGCGGAGCCGUUCUACUGGCCCAAGCCGCACGACUACGGGGACGCGCCCCGGUGGCCGCUGGUGUACCCCACGCCGGAGGUGUUCCGGCGCUGGCCGUACCUGGCGGCGGGGUCGCAUUGCUGCCACUCGCGGGGCGGGCCGCGCGACUACUGGAGGCAGUGCAUGCGCGGGCUGGACUUCCUCUUCGGCCACGCCGACGGGUACGGGGAGCGGCGGAUCGGGACCGACUGCCACGGGGUCCCCGUGUACGCCAACAAGAAGGGGGGAGUGGAGGACGCCGUGGUCGUCGAGGUGCCGCCGCCGGCAAUUGGGAAUGUGCAGUGGCACGACGCCGGUGAGGUGCCGGCAAUUGGGAAUGGGCAGUGGCACGACCACGCCGAGGUGCCGUCAACUGGGAAUGUGCAGUGGCACGACCACGGCGAGGUGCGUGGGAAUGUGCAGUGGCACGACCACGGCGAGGUGCAUGGGAAUGUGCAGUGGCACGACGCUGGCCAGGCGCACGAUCAGAGCAAUUGGCUAUCUUCAUACCACAAUGCAAAAGAGGAUACGUAUGCAUAUGCCCAUUCUACCUAUGGCUCAUAUGACACAUCCUACGAACAGUCUUACAGUGUUGAUGUUGUUCCGGAUGAACCUACCUGGUUUCCCAAUCAGAGCUACCAGGAUGUUUACAGAGAGGAGGAACCUCAGUGUCAGGAGGUUUUGCCCAGUUAUGGCAUAGAAAGUACAUUUUCAUCUCAACCUAUUUAUUGCUACAAUCAGCACACUGGUGAACAACCACUGCAUGUUCAGGUUGAGCCUCCGGAAACAUUUUAUUCUCACAAGCUGGAGUACCACGAGAAUUUCUCAACAUAUACCAACCAUAUUGAUAAUUCGGAGAUAUCGACACAGUCAUGUGAGAUACAGCCCUAUGCAUAUGUACCUGACAGCCCAGUUGAAGCUUAUCAACCUUCUUGGUCGAUGAAUUUGGGAUACUAUCAGGACUCUGCAGAAGAGGUGACUCCUCAGUAUGAUAAUCAUGCUUUCGAAUCUGGUGAAUAUGGAGGCAUGGCAAGCAUAUUCUCGUCUUCCUCCUAUCCUCAGCAAGUAGAAGUUUAUGAGCAGUCUUAUGGUGAUGAGUAUGUCUCCUUACAACAAAAUUUCCUGAGCAACUGGAAUGCUUUUUCUGAAGAUACCUCUGAAAUCACUAAAUCAGUUGAUGAUUGCAACCAUCUGAAUGGCUCCUUCUGGCCCUUUGGAGAAUACUCAACAUAUACUGUAUAG
rnacentral:rRNA from 1 species